AGCCGCCCAGCCGAGAGUUGUCUCCAGCUCCAGGGGUUCUGAGGCCAUGUGUGAGUGAGGAUGGGCAAGCGACAAACACACCCGGAGGCCAUUCCCACGAGUUCAAACGCGCCUCGUCCCCAGGAGUUCCUAACUGCAGGACUUCUCAGAGCCUUUACAAGGCUGCCAUAAGGUGUACCUCUCCUAGAGCCAGGAAGGCAGGCAAGGAGCCUUCCCUCUGGGGGCACGCACAACCAGGCAGACACCCCAUGACACGGGCAGCCAGGCUGGGGGUAGUCCGGGAGUGCCUCCUGAAGAUGAAGUCUGAAUUGCGGAUGGAGGUGGAGUCAGGGGAGGUGAGGGCACAGCGCGGGGCAAGAAGGGGUAGAAGGGAGGGAGGCCUGCCCGAGCGGAGAUGCUGGAGGGAAAGCGAAUUGAGCCACGCAGGCUGCGGGGGCAGGUGUUCACGAACCCCCGUGGGUGACACAAACUGGCAUCACCAGGCCCUGGCCAGGAACCAGGCACGGCGCCAAGCCCUCCCCACACAUUCCGGAGAAUCCUCAAAACCCAGGAGAAUGAAACCCGAGCUCCCCUCUGCAGGGUGGAAGGCUCCUUCCCACCGCAUCCCACUACCUCUUCCUCCCCCACCGUGCUACAGCCAAACUGGGCUUCCUCAAACACGCCACCCUCCUCCUGCCCCGGGGCCUUUGCAUUCGCCCUUCUCCCCGCCAGCAAUGCCCAGCCCCGAUCCUUGAACUUCCCCUUCCCAUCUCAGCUCAAAGAUUGCCCCCUUAAAGAAGCCUUUACUUGAUGUAAAGGCUGUGGUCACCAGAGCUUCUGAGGGAUGGGAGGAGGAAUAGGUGUGUUUUGGGGGCAUUUUGGGGACUCUGGGUUUGUCCUGCAUGACAAUGCAGUGAUGGAUACAGGCCAGUGAAUGUUUUGUCAUAACUUAGAAAAUUGUGUGGGACAGAGUGUAAGCUAUAAUGUGAACUGUAGUCCAUGGUUAGUAGCAAUGCUUCAAUAUGGGUUCAUCAAUUAUAAAAAAUGUACCACACUAAUGAAGGAAAGUGUGGGAGGG
rnacentral:lncRNA from 1 species